rnacentral:lncRNA from 1 species
ACCCUCCAGUGCACUCUGACUGCCUGUAUCUUCUCCUUCAGGGCCGAAAGGAGGAUACCUUAUAACGGAGGCCAAAAUGAUAAAUAUUCUCAGUGCAGCUCAUCUAGUCAUGAAAAUCACUGCCUACUGCACACAGCAGUGUAUGCCGGAUGUGCUGCUCCAGCUCCAGCCCCAGCCUGUCUGCCUUGCAGUACUGAUGCUUAACCACCAUGGUGAGUGUGUGCAGGGGCCACUAAUUCGGAAGACAGGGGGCACCGAGACAGCCAAGGCACUGUGGGGGAGGCUGUCUCUUUGGGGUCCUUGGGGCAGGGUGUGGGAGUCAGGGGUAAGGUGGGCUGGCAUGAUGGAAAUUAGCCUCCGGUUGUUGUUUUGAUUAUUGGCCCUUCCACAAAUUUCCUAGUUCCACAUGGUGUGCAUGAGAACACCUUUGGCUUAAAAGAACUAAGAUGGUUUUUAUUUCCACACUGAGCUCCAACCAAUGCAGUAGGGGUCAAUAAAUGUGCAUUCACUCAUUCAUCCCGUCUAUCAGCCAUUUAUUGAGUGCCUAGUGUGUGCCAGAGAUACUUCAAGGCACUGGGGAUGCAUCGUUGAACCAGACAGAACCUCCUACCCUCGUGGAGUUUACCUUGAAUGGAGGGAGAAUGGAGAAAACAGUAAGUAACCAAAUAAAACAAAC